ACAAACUUGGUCAUUUAGAGGAAGUAAAAGUCGUAACAAGGUCUCCGUUGGUGAACCAGCGGAGGGAUCAUUACCGAGUCUUCGACGCUCAAACCCUACCGUGAACCCGAACCUGUUGCUUCGGCGGGACUACCACUCCCUUUCUUAGAGGGGGAGGAGGGGCGCCCGCCGAAGGUAUACCACAAAAGGCUCUACAGCGGCGCUACCGCCGCGAGAUUAUUAUCUUCUGAAUUUGCUUCCAAAAAAAAGUCAAAACUUUCAACAACGGAUCUCUUGGUUCUGGCAUCGAUGAAGAACGCAGC
rnacentral:misc_RNA from 1 species